rnacentral:rRNA from 1 species
GACGAACGCUGGCGGCGUGCUUAACACAUGCAAGUCGAACGGAAAGGCCCUGCUUUUGUGGGGUGCUCGAGUGGCGAACGGGUGAGUAGCACGUGAGUAACCUGCCCUUGACUUUGGGAUAACUUCAGGAAACUGGGGCUAAUAACGGAUAGGAGCUCCUGCUGCAUGGUGGGGGUUGGAAAGUUUCGGCGGUUGGGGAUGGACUCGCGGCUUAUCAGCUUGUUGGUGGGGUAGUGGCUUACCAAGGCUUUGACGGGUAGCCGGCCUGAGAGGGUGACCAGCCACAUUGGGACUGAGGUACGGCCCAGACUCCUACGGGAGGCAGCAGUGGGGAAUAUUGCACAAUGGGCGGAAGCCUGAUGCAGCAACGCCGCGUGCGGGAUGACGGCCUUCGGGUUGUAAACCGCUUUCGCCUGUGACGAAGCGUGAGUGACGGUAAUGGGUAAAGAAGCACCGGCUAACUACGUG